CAUCAAGAGACGGCGGAGGGAUUGGCCCUGUGAUGCCGCAGCAACCUUCAUACACGUGAAAGGUGCUAAAUCCAACAGUAGCAACUACUGGAAGAUG
rnacentral:ncRNA from 1 species